rnacentral:ribozyme from 14 species
AUUAAUAUUAUUCUUUUUUUCCUUUUUUUUUCCCUUCUUCUUGUCUCGUCGUUCCUGACUUUAGAUGUUUCUUCUCAAUGCCACGUGGCAUUAUUUAUUUAAAAACAAC